rnacentral:rRNA from 1 species
UUGGUCAAUGGCCGAAAGGCUGAACCAGUAACUUGGAAGAAUGUAUAUGUAAUUGUAUCAAUACAUUCGCGAUUAACUCGCAUAAAAUUCUAAAUAGAUUGUAUAUAAUGACAUAAUCUAUUUAUAAGUCUUGACCAAACUACGUGCCAGCAGUCGCGGUAAUACGUAGGAGGCUAGUGUUAGUUAUCUUUAUUGGGUUUAAAGGGUAAGUAGACGGUAAAUUAAACUCUAAACGAGUACUUUUUUACUUGAGUUAUAUGAGAGAAGGAAGAAUUUCUGGAGUAGAGAUAAAAUUUGAUGAUACCAGGAGGACUGUCAACGGCGAAGGCGUCCUUCUAUGUAAUAACUGACGUUGAGAGACGAAGGCUUGGGUAGCAAACAGGAUUAGAUACCCUAAUAGUCCAAGCAGACAAUGAUGAAUGUCAUACAUUAGAUAUAAAUUUAAUGUAUAAACGAAAGUGUAAGCAUUCCACCUCAAGAGUACUAUGGCAACAUAUAAACUGAAAUCAUUAGACCGUUUCUAAAACCAGUAGUGAAGUAU